AGCGAACGCUGGCGGCAUGCCUAACACAUGCAAGUCGCACGGGGGGGCUUCGGCCUCCCAGUGGCGGACGGGGGAGGAACGCGUAGGGACCUGUCGAGGGGUGGGGGAUAACCGCGGGAAACUGCGGCUAAUACCGCAUGACGCCGCGGCGUGACAGCCGGGGCCAAAGGCGAAAGCCGCCCGCCGAGGGGCCUGCGUCCGAUUAGCUGGUUGGCGGGGUAGCGGCCCACCAAGGCGUCGAUCGGUAGCUGGUCUGAGAGGGUGAUCAGCCACACCGGGAGUGGGAAGCGGGAGGGACUCCUACGGGAGGGAGGAGUGGGGAAUAUUGGACAAUGGGGGCAAGCCUGAUGCAGCAAGGCCGCGUGGGUGAAGAAGGUCUGCGGAUUGUAAAGCCCUUUCGGCGGGGACGAUGGUGACGGUACCCGCAGAAGAAGCCCCGGCUAACUUCGUG
rnacentral:rRNA from 1 species